AUGCACGUACACACUGUCCCCAGUGUGGCAAAAUAUGUGGCUAGGUUUGGUUUGGUAUUGUCCAAAACUAUUACACUACUCGAUGGUGAAGACCUAUCAAAAAUUGACGUUGUAAUUGUUGAUGAUGUACCUUGCAAGGAUAAAAACGGAAACAUUGUUCUCAAGCAUAGGGAGGCUUUGAUCCACACUGACGGGACUGGCCUAAUAUCAGAAGAUUUAGCUAAGAAAUGCCCUACUGAUGUAUUUAAGGGGAACCUUUUGAGGAUACAUGACCCUCUUCUUAUGCAGGUCCGUAUGUUCUAUAAUGGACUUGUUGUAAAGGGAACCCUUCUUGUUGUUAGAAAGCUUCCUGAAAGGACUAUCCAUAUACGACCAUCAAUGAUAAAAGUAAACUCAGAUCCUAGUCUAUAA
rnacentral:rRNA from 1 species